AACGUAGGACGCAAGCGUUAUCCGGAGUUACUGGGCGUAAAGCGCGGGCAGGCGGUCUUGCCAGUCUGAUGUGAAAUCUCCUCGCUCAACGGGGAGCAGCCAUUGGAAACUACAAGACUGGAGUCUGGCAGAGGUAGGCGGAAUUCCGGGUGGAGUGGUGAAAUGCGCAGAUAUCAGGAGGAACACCGAUGGCGAAGGCAGGUCUCUGGGCAUUAACUGACGCUGAGGAGCGAAAGCAUGGGGAGCGAACAGG
rnacentral:rRNA from 1 species